ACGCUGGCGGCGUGCCUAAUACAUGCAAGUCGAACGGAGAUUAAGUAGCUUGCUAUUUAAUCUUAGUGGCGCACGGGUGAGUAAUAUAUAGCUAACUUGCCCAUUACUAAGGGACAACAGUUGGAAACGACUGCUAAUACCUUAUACUCCGUAUCUAUAUAAGUAGAUACGGGAAAGUUUUUCGGUAAUGGAUAGGGCUAUAUCGUAUCAGCUAGUUGGUAAGGUAAUGGCUUACCAAGGCUAUGACGCGUAACUGGUCUGAGAGGAUGAUCAGUCACACUGGAACUGAGACACGGUCCAGACUCCUACGGGAGGCAGCAGUAGGGAAUAUUGCUCAAUGGGGGAAACCCUGAAGCAGCAACGCCGCGUGGAGGAUGACACUUUUCGGAGCGUAAACUCCUUUUCUUGGGAAAGAAUUAUGACGGUACCCAAGGAAUAAGCACCGGCUAACUCCGUGCCAGCAGCCGCGGUAAUACGGAGGGUGCAAGCGUUACUCGGAAUCACUGGGCGUAAAGGACGCGUAGGCGGAUUAUCAAGUCUCUUGUGAAAUCUAACGGCUUAACCGUUAAACUGCUUGGGAAACUGAUAAUCUAGAGUAAGGGAGAGGCAGAUGGAAUUCUUGGUGUAGGGGUAAAAUCCGUAGAGGUCAAGAAGAAUACCCAUUGCGAAAGCGAUCUGCUGGAACUUAACUGACGCUAAUGCGUGAAAGCGUGGGGAGCAAACAGGAUUAGAUACCCUGGUAGUCCACGCCCUAAACGAUGUAUACUAGUUUGUUGCUUCGCUAGUCGAGGCAGUAAUGCACCUAACGGAUUAAGUAUACCGCCUGGGGAGUACGGUCGCAAGAUUAAAACUCAAAGGAAUAGACGGGGACCCGCACAAGCGGUGGAGCAUGUGGUUUAAUUCGAAGAUACGCGAAGA
rnacentral:rRNA from 1 species